GGACUACCAGGGUAUCUAAUCCUGUUUGAUCCCCACGCUUUCGUGCCUCAGUGUCAGUUACAGUUUUGUGAGCUGCCUUCGCAAUGGGUGUUCUGUGUCAUAUCUAAGCAUUUCACCGCUACACGACACAUUCCACUCACAUCAAAUGUACUCAAGAAUAACAGUAUCAAUGGCAGUUCUACAGUUAAGCUGCAGGUUUUCACCACUGACUUGUCAUUCCACCUACGCACCCUUUAAACCCAGUGAAUCCGGAUAACGCUUGGAUCCUCCGUAUUACCGCGGCUGCUGGCAC
rnacentral:rRNA from 2 species